AGUACAUGACCCUGCCACGGAUCAGAGGGGCACCGUGUGAAGGAAAGGGAGAGACGAAGAGAGCACCAGGAUAAUCCUCUCAGACAGAGUGUCCUGCAACCUGCCCAGCCACUGUUUUGAGGAAGUGUCUUGGACUUCAGAGCAAGACAGUGUGAUGGAAGCAGUGGCACUGCAUGCCCUUGGAUGGUCUGGAUUUGGUCCAGCUGGGGAGGAUGAGACUGAUGCUAGCAAGCAAGUAAAAUCCUGGUGACAUCUAGUGGCUGCUGGGAAUCCACCGUGGCAUGAGAGGUGAGAACGCCUUCCCUCUGCACAUUUAAGCCUGCUGUGCACAAAACAGAGAUGGAAAUAUCACGCCUUUCAAGACCAACAGACUUCCACAACCUGAAUUUAGA